CCUGGUCCCUUUAUAUUACUUAACGGUCUUAGGUCUUGUUGCCAUUAGGCUAAAUUGAACAAAUCCUUGGAAACUUACUUUGUUAACUGGGAGGAAAGGGGCAAAUGUCAUUCAUUAAACAUUAAUUGUUUUUGCUUUUCAUAUCCCACUUUGCAGAAUCUCUAAGGGGAAUAUACUGAACACUAAAUAUGUUUUAAUUAAAACAGAGAGAGAAAGCCAUAAUGUCAAGCUGAAAGAGAAGAGUUUUACUUAGUUCUUCAGAGUAAUGGAGCUUUAAGAUCAUUUGCAUUAGGAGGACCAUUCUAACCCUGAUAUUCUUAGGGCUUUCAGCUGAUCAGCAGUCAGUGUGUGUGAACUACUUGCACCAUAUUUAACGCCAGCUUGCUUGAAACAAGGACCUUAGCAUUAAAAACAAAAAUACAGCAAUGUCUACCAAACUUCAGAAGUUACCCUCUUUGCAGACAAAAGUGUCUUCCUUUUUUUCCCUCAGCCGAUGAAAUACCUGGGGCUUCCCAGACUGCUGGAGUGGCUUUAGCUCAUCACAGAUGGUAGAAAACACAGUGUUUGUUCCCUCAGAUGACAGCUGCUUUCUACUGCUUACUGCUGUGAGGGGUCAACUUGUGAUGUCCAGCUACAUGUCCCGAGGUGCAGUUCUUACAGUCAGAACCCAGACAGACAAAGCUGGAUACCUGUAUGAUUCACACACAUCUGUAGGAUGUUGCUGCCCUCCAUUUGUACAACGGCCCACAUGGCAGCUGCCUUCGUACAGGUUGGAAGAGUCACUGGAGUGAACAAGUGCCCUGAUUAAACUCUUCUUCUCUUCCAGUCCCCAGCAAAUCUUUGAAUCCUGAGGAGAUGAUAAUUAAUGCAGAACUUUAAAUAGCUUUUCAGAGAAGCAAUUCAGGUUGCAUGUAGUAGACACAACUUUCAUAAGUAUAUGGAAAACAGAUUUACUCUUUAGAAGAAGGUUAAAUUUCAGUCUUAAUUACAAAUGUCUCUUUUUUGUACAACAAUUUUUAAAUUAUAACUCCCUGAAGAAUAAAUAUUCCAUAAGACUGGAUAACA
rnacentral:lncRNA from 1 species